rnacentral:rRNA from 1 species
UACGUAGGGGGCGAGCGUUGUCCGGAAUCAUUGGGCGUAAAGCGCGUGUAGGCGGUUCGGUAAGUCCGCUGUGAAAGUCGGGGGCUCAACCCUCGGAUGCCGGUGGAUACUGUCGGGCUUGAGGUACGGAAGAGGCGAGUGGAAUUCCUGGUGUAGCGGUGAAAUGCGCAGAUAUCAAGGAGGAACACCAAUUGCGAAGGCAGCUCGCUGGGACGUUACUGACGCUGAGACGCGAAAGCGUGGGGAGCAAACAGG